AAGGCGGAUAAAUCCCACUGCCGUCUUUCUCUGAUGCGUGAGUGUUAAUCUUUCAGUUGUGUCCAACUCUUUGCGACCCCACAGACUGUAGCUGACAGGCUCCUGUGUCCAUGGAAUUCUCCAGGUAAGAAUAUUGCAGUGAGUAGUCAUUCCCUUCUCCAGGGGAUUUUCCCAAACCAGGGGUCAAACCCAGGUUUCCUGCAGCAUUCUUAUUUUUUUUUUUAGUAUCAUACCACUCUAGGCUCCAUGGGGUAUACCCAUCAAUGCAUAGGGAAGAGAUGACUUUUUUUUUUUUUUUUUACAGUUGCCCUCUGCAGAGUCAUCUUCUGGAAGAAAACCCCAAUUGCCAAGGAUAAACAUAUUUUUGAUCGUCUUCCUUUUUUUAAACUGAAAGAAGAUAAUGAAUAUGAAAGUCUCUAUGAGACUGCUGCUGCUGCUGCUAAGUCACUUCAGUCGUGUCUGACUCUGUGUGACCCCAUAGACGGCAGCCCAC
rnacentral:lncRNA from 1 species